UACGGGGGGGGCAAGCGUUGUUCGGAAUUACUGGGCGUAAAGGGCUCGUAGGCGGCCAACUAAGUCAGACGUGAAAUCCCUCGGCUUAACCGGGGAACUGCGUCUGAUACUGGAUGGCUUGAGUUUGGGAGAGGGAUGCGGAAUUCCAGGUGUAGCGGUGAAAUGCGUAGAUAUCUGGAGGAACACCGGUGGCGAAGGCGACAUCCUGGACCGGUAUUGACGCUGAUGAGCGAAAGCUAGGGGAGCAAACGGG
rnacentral:rRNA from 1 species